rnacentral:rRNA from 1 species
AGUCAUUCGCUUGUCUUAAAGAUUAACCCAUGCAUGUCUAAGUAUAACCAUUUAUACUGGAAAACUGCGCACGGCUCAUUAUAUCAGUUAUAGUCCAUUUGAUAGUCUUUUUUACAAGGAUACUUGUGGCAAAUCUAGAAAUAAUACUUGCAUACGGAGGCGACUUUUAGGAGGCCUUGCAUUUGUUUGAUUUAAACCAAUACCCUUCGGGGUUGAAUAGGUGAUUCAGAACAACUAAGCGAAUCGCAGAGCUUCGGCGGCGAUGAAUCAUUCGAGUUUCUGCCCCAUCAGUUGUCGAAGAUAGGGUAUUGGCCUAUCUUGACUAUCACGGGUGACGGAGAAUCAGGGUUCGGUUCCGGAGAGGGAGCCUUAGAGACGGCUACCACAUCCAAGGAAGGCAGCAGGGGCGUAAAUUACUCAAUACCAAAUCGGUGAAGUAGUGACGAGAAAUAUCAUUAAGGGUCGCUUCGCGGCUUUUAAAUGAAAUGAGAGCAACGUAAAAGCCUCAUCGAGGAUCAAU